rnacentral:lncRNA from 1 species
GGCGGACAUGGAAUAUUGAAAAAAAUCCGCCUGAAGUAUCAAAGACCUUAGGCGAAAUAUUUACUACUUUCCUGUUGAGUUAACAGGAUUUCUGUAGUAAAAGAAAUAUCAUAGACGGAAUGCUGGACUUAGUAUAUUUGUUCAAGUUUCUUAGGAGGAAAUUGGACUUAAAAGAUUUUGUUCAAAUUUAUCAGGCGGGAAUUGUACUUAGAAAUUUUUUCUAACUUUUGAGGCAGAAUUGUUCUUUUAAUUUUUUUUUCAAAUGAAAAUGUAUCAUUACUGAUGAGAGAGUGCAUGGUGAUUAUUUGGGCCAUAAAGCCAGUAUUUGUACCCCCCUGAAAUCCAACAUAUUUUUAAAGAGUCUUAAAGAUGGCAUAUUAAAUUCAAUUAAAUUUAAAUUGUG